rnacentral:misc_RNA from 1 species
GAUGAAGAACGCAGCGAAAUGCGAAAAGUAAUGUGAAUUGCAGAAUUCAGUGAAUCAUCGAAUCUUUGAACGCACAUUGCGCCCGCCAGUAUUCUGGCGGGCAUGCCUGUCUGAGCGUCAUUUCAACCCUCAUGCCCCUAGGGCGUGGUGUUGGGGAUCGGCCAGCGCCCGCGAGGGACGGCCGGCCCCUAAAUCUAGUGGCGGACCCGUCGUGGCCUCCCCUGCGAAGUAGUGAUAUUCCGCAUAGGAGAGCGACGAGCCCCUGCCGUUAAACCCCCAGCUUUCUAAGGUUGACCUCAGAUCAGGUAGGAAUACCCGCUGAACUUAAGCAUAUCAAUAAGCGGAGGA